GGAGAAGACACCAGCGAAGCUUGCAGCUUUGUGAUAUUAAAAACUGCUGCCUGUGAACAAUCAACAUCGGACUUGUUUUUUUAAGGAACGAACUAAGGUAUGUGGUUUUGUAAGACUCCCUAAACAUCUUGUCCCAGUGCUUAAACGAUUCAGGUGGGGAGCCUGCAGAUUAGUCUGGAUAAAAACUGCUCUCAAUUUAGCAUUUUCAUUAAUUUAUGUCUUACUCAUCCAUUCCCCCAAACUUGUUAUUCCACUAAUCUUUUAUGGUAUAAUUAGAAAAGUAAGAAUAUAAAAAUGACUAACAUUUUAUAGUACUCUUAACAUUUUCAUAUAUAAUCUCAUUUGAUCUGGUUAACAAACCUAGCAGUAGAUAUUUUAAAAAAAUGGAACUCAGGAAAGUCAUGAGAUUUGCCCAAGAACUUAUAGCUCAUAAAUGAUGAAGUUGUGAGUGGAAUUCUGACCUUUAGAUUCUGAAUUUUGUGACAGGAUAACUUUAGCUCUUAAAACAGGUAAUAGGAUUGUAUUUCAUGUCAUUGACUGCCUCUUCAUUCCCUGAAGCCCUAUUCUGGA
rnacentral:lncRNA from 10 species